AUGUAAAUGAGGUAGGGGGCCCUGACUUCAGUCUCGGGCAGGAAUGGUCAACUGAGUGAUCCAGACAGAAGUAAUCUAUUCCUAGCGAAUCUUCCUUGUAUAGUAGUUAGCAAACUAGCGUUACAUGUAAUGGCUUCAACCGGGAGACCGCUGGCAGACCUGCUGCGGGAUGUGGCUAAUCAGCUUGAGAACUGUGAGUUUCUUUUGUUUAUUUCUGUAAACAGUAUAACUAACAGUUAUGUCCAACUUUUGCCAAUGUAUUGUAUUACACUGAAUUAGCCACCCAUGUGGUGAUCAUCACUUUAGUAUUUUUUGUGCAGCGCCGGGUACCGGUAGCGUGCCAAAUUCAUCCACGCCGUCCCGUAAUAUGACACCAAGACACCCAGUGGACGCCGAGGUGUCAAGACUGUUUGGUCCAUAUACCCAUGGAGGGAGAAGCUCGACAAGGCGGCGAACCCUUGGUGUGCCCACACUCUCCUCUUACACUCAUUCCUUCUGCUGUGUCGAGAAUAAAAGUGCCGACAUUGUCCCCAACCGAUUCGCCAAAGAGAGACUUGCUUCUGCAGGGUUAGGGGAAAAAGUCUGACAUUUCAAGGUUGUCAAACAAAUCCGAAUGAAUUUAGAGAAUUUAUUUUAGAGGCCUAUCCCAAACUCAGACAAGGGGGUGGAUUUGAGUUGCUCCGAAUUGCUGGAACUACAAGAAGUCGCCAACUGAUCCUCAUCCCGUGUCCCAAUGAGGGCUACCAUGUGAGACAUUUGAAAGAUCCACAAAACCAGAUUGGUCAUGCUAUUAUUUUCAUUCGACCACUCCAAAGGAACCUGGAUCUCGAGCAUGUAUGUCAACCAGAAUGCAACAAUGGGCUGGUUGGACCACCUGAGAAAUGUAUCACUUGUGGAGAGGAGUUUCCUUUUUCACAAAUCAAAGCUCAUAGUGAUGAAUGCAUGAGGUACUGCCCUACAGAACUAAAACAUAUCAUUUGUCAAGCACACUGCAUGUGUAGUCAUAUAUUUGACAUGACCCAUUUGGCUGUGUGAGUCGUCCAACAAGUGUAAAGCAUCCUGACUGUUGUGUGUGUAUGUAGGAUAAACAAUUAUAGCUAUAAAUGUAUAAGAACACAAUAGAUGAGCUCUUUCUAUACCAACCAUCCUGUUUGUGUCUAUCCAUAUUUUUCUGUCUUCAAUAAGACAAACAAAUGUGGUGGACACUGUUUGGGUUGUACUGGUUCCAGGCUGAAACCAGAUCACCCCAAGAAUGUGAAUGUAGCUUUUUUUUAACCUGUAAGUUUCUGCAGGAUAAAGUCAACCAGGUUAUCCAGUGGCUGAUUGACAAUCCCUUUGCUAUUGCUGUAUGACAGUUGAAAAUCUAUGUGAUUUGACUUUUCUAUUUUAAUUUAAGUGCCAGGAGGAACCCUUCUUUUUGAGGGUGAAAAUGAUCAUCUGAUACCCUCCACUUCCCAUAUCCUUUUGGAGAGUGACUUAUUUGUUGUUGCUGGACGAUUCAUUUCUGCAUGAUGGGCCAUGCCUGGGUGGACUGAGCCCAGCAAUCCUGCAUGUGCUCUUUGGUGGAUCCCCAGAAGAAGCCACUAUAGAUAUUAAGGACUGUGCUGACCUUGUGCUGACAAAAUAUGUAUAUUUUGUCAAGAUUUUAAAAUAACUAGGGCUAGGACAAUGAAAAUAAUAUUUUAAGUCAGGAAGAAAUGAUUAACAAAUGCUUAAAUAUAAAUUAAUUAAAUAAGAAAAAAAACUUAAUUCAGUAUUCUUCCACAAUCACAUCAUACAGUUAAUAUUUUCACCAGCAGGGGGUGCUAAACCAACAGUUUUACCAUGUUAUAAACUACUACCAUGCUGACCACAUGAAUUUUUAAUAAAAUUGAAAUGUU